AUUGAACGCUGGCGGCAGGCCUAACACAUGCAAGUCGAGCGGUAACACAGGGAGCUUGCUCCCGGGUGACGAGCGGCGGACGGGUGAGUAAUGUCUGGGAAACUGCCUGAUGGAGGGGGAUAACUACUGGAAACGGUAGCUAAUACCGCAUAACGUCGCAAGACCAAAGAGGGGGACCUUCGGGCCUCUUGCCAUCAGAUGUGCCCAGAUGGGAUUAGCUAGUAGGUGGGGUAAUGGCUCACCUAGGCGACGAUCCCUAGCUGGUCUGAGAGGAUGACCAGCCACACUGGAACUGAGACACGGUCCAGACUCCUACGGGAGGCAGCAGUGGGGAAUAUUGCACAAUGGGCGCAAGCCUGAUGCAGCCAUGCCGCGUGUAUGAAGAAGGCCUUCGGGUUGUAAAGUACUUUCAGCGGGGAGGAAGGUGCUGAGGUUAAUAACCUCAGCAAUUGACGUUACCCGCAGAAGAAGCACCGGCUAACUCCGUGCCAGCCGCCGCCGUAAAAC
rnacentral:rRNA from 1 species